rnacentral:tRNA from 1 species
GCCGGGGUAGCUCAGCUGGUUAGAGCGCGGGACUCAUAAGCCCGAGGUCGUGGGUUCGACCCCCACCCCCGGUACUA